UUUUCAUUUAAAGCCCCCCAAACGUUUGACUUUGAAUACUGUUUGACCGCCGAAAUACUAUCAAGAGGGAAAAAGUGUAUUAAUUCUGGUGGGAAUUGACUAGAUUUGUGAUCUACAUCAGAAGCUUUUCACGAUUUAACCAAAACCAUGUGAAAAAAUGGGUGCGAUAUCCUUGUUUAUAUAUUUUUGGACCUUGACCAGGGAGAAGAACUAGUGCCUAUAAAACCACUGAAGAUAGGAAGAAUCAAAAACACCACGGAAGUCAAUGGUGACCCAAAACAGUCUGAGUGCCCACUUUGGCUGAAGUCUUCAUUCAAAUGUAGUUGAAGAUGCUGCGUCUCGUCGGGACAAAGCGGGUGACCUCUUCGCUCAUAUUUAAAGGGAAGCCUGCCUUUGAGCCUGAAAUGGAGACGAGAGCAGACGACCGCAGCGAGGGGAAAUAAAGUCUCUCAUAGACUGACCGACACUUCCAUGUGCUUUGCGAUUCGAUUCCAUACGAAAUGCGUAUUUAUCAUCCAUUUCUACUUUAAUACAAACACGCAUUUAAUUUUUUUUAUAGAAAUAUUACAAUUGCACAUCUCACACAGAGAUCGCACCGCCGUAGUGCGUUCAGAAACAACACAAAUGACCUUCUUUGGAAAAAAAAAAAAAAAAAAAAAAAGAUUUUGGGGGAAAGGUUGCUAGUUAACAAUCUCUUCAGUUUCUCUUAAAUGUAAAUAAGAUGUUUAUUCAAAAACACACAGCAGCUGUAUUUUUAUAUGAUUAGAAAUAUAUAUAUAUAUAUAUAUAUAUAUAAUUUAAUCUUUACUUUUUAACAAUAAGCUUGAUUUCCCUUUUUUAGUUUUAGAUUUAUUGAAGAAUUUCAGACAUAUUAGCAAAAUGGCGCCCGUGCGUAGACUCCUGUACACGGCAUGUACUCCAUAUUCUAUUGUCGAGCCCCUUUGUCUUCAACAAAAAAAUGGUAGGAAACAAAUACAAAUUGAGGAAAAAUAAAAUAAUUAAAUUUUGGUUUACACCUUGGUUUUGUGUGUUUUAGCAUUUUAGAUUAAGAUUCAUAACUUAUUAAACACUUUAUUUUAACCUUGGUAGGUUGCCAGGUCCCCCAGCUGAGAACCACUUUCAGCUCCAUCAGCCAAGCACGUCUGUCCACUAGAGGCCUGCAGUCACUUCCUAAUCUCACCUGGAAGAGUCUCUACGAAGGCUUUGGGGAAGAAGCCUUCUCUGCCAUUGACCCGUCCGCUCCACCAUUCAUCGUCUAUGUGAGCGGUGACCAGGAC